UGGGGAAUUUUGGACAAUGGGCGAAAGCCUGAUCCAGCAAUGCCGCGUGUGUGAAGAAGGCCUUCGGGUUGUAAAGCACUUUUGUCCGGAAAGAAAUCCUUGGCUCUAAUACAGUCGGGGGAUGACGGUACCGGAAGAAUAAGCACCGGCUAACUACGUGCCAGCAGCCGCGGUAAUACGUAGGGUGCAAGCGUUAAUCGGAAUUACUGGGCGUAAAGCGUGCGCAGGCGGUUUGCUAAGACCGAUGUGAAAUCCCCGGGCUCAACCUGGGAACUGCAUUGGUGACUGGCAGGCUAGAGUAUGGCAGAGGGGGGUAGAAUUCCACGUGUAGCAGUGAAAUGCGUAGAGAUGUGGAGGAAUACCGAUGGCGAAGGCAGCCCCAUGGGCCAAUACUGACGCUCAUGCACGAAAGCGUGGGGAGCAAACAGGAUUAGAUACCCUGGUAGUCCACGCCCUAAAACGAUGUCAACUAGUUGUUGGGGAUUCAUUUCCUUAGUAACGUAGCUAACGCGUGAAGCUGACCGCCUGGGGAUACGGUCGCAAGAUUAAAACUCAAAUGAAUUGACGGGGUCAUAGCUGUUUCCU
rnacentral:rRNA from 1 species